ensembl:lncRNA
UCUUCACAGUGGUCAGCUCUGGUUUAUGUGUUGCUGACAUCAGAGCAGAAGAUGGAUGUGUUUGAUCUGAAACAGUUUAUUGGAGCACAACAUACAGCAGAUGAAGUUCUUCAGAAUCUGUUACCUGUGGUUAAAGAAUCCAGAUCAGUUCGCAACAAAAUGGGGAAAAUCUCAGAGAAUCACAUUUCAGUCAGUGAGCAGGAGAGGUGUGUGAGACACACAAACUAAAGCAGCUGAAGAGGUUUUUGUGUUUCUGUGUGAGAGCUGAUGAUGUAGAGCUCAGUGUGGAAGAUGAAGAUGAAGUAAUGAAUGUGAGGGGGUCAAAACUGACAGCAAACAGAUUUCCAAUUAUGUUUAUAUGUUUGUUUUAUUGUCUGUAUGAAUGACAUUUGAAUUCACAUUUUGUUUCUUUAAUCACAGCUGGUGUCAGUUCAUCAUUCAUGUUCUUUAAUCUGUAGAGGUUUGCUUAUUGUGGUGUCACAAAUGAAGGCUGUGCAGUUAUACACUGAUUUAAAUGUUAAUUUUCUUAUGAAGUAAGAAGAUAUAGGAGAUAAAACACUCAGCUUGUUGUAAUGUUGCUGUUUGAGCAUAAAAAAACAUCUGUAAAGUUACAAAGCUCAAAGUCCACUUCAAAAAAAGAGAUUUUAUUUAACAGAAAUCACUUUUCAAAAACUACAACAAACAACUCGUUUGGACUACAACGCAUAUUUUCUGGGAUUUGUGACAUCACAAAUAUUUGAUAAAUAAGACUUAAAGGUUGUGGUUCGAAGAGCUUGUUAGUCCAAAUUAAGAAGAUUAGAAGCCGACGAAGAUAAAAGCCAAGUUUAGAGAAGCAGUCCUUGGUAAAAUGACAUGCACACAACAAAAGGUUUGAAUUGUAUUUCUGUGGUAUCCUUGAACACAUCAUCUUCUUAAACAGAGAGACAUCUUUUGAGAGACAUCUUUUGCAGAUUGUUUUCAUUUAAUAAUAGCUACGUUAUAAACUGCAAAUUAGAUAUUUAAAAAAAAAAAACUAUAUGACCUGCUCUUUAAAGUGUCUAUUUUAACACUGCUGAAGAUCAUAUAUGGUCCCAAUCUAUCUAGUGUUAAAAAAGUACACCGUUCGUAGUGUUGGAUUUUUAGUGUUAAUAUAGCACCUUACAGUGUAGAAAAAUUACACUCAUAGUGUAAAGUGUUAAACUUGCUAUUGCUGUUUAAAUUUUACUCGAUGGGGUAUUUAACACCCCUGGUGUUGUUUUAAUCAAGUGUUAUUUAAUUAAAGUGUUAUUUACAAAGUAUUCUUUUCAGGGCAAAAAAAUUCUAUUGUAUAGUGUUAAUGUACAAGAUUAGACAUAAAAUCAAGAGUCUUCAGACAGAUGUAUAAAUUUCAACAUUUAUUUAACAAAUGUGCAAAGUGGCAACUUUAAAGCAUAUAUCAGAUGUGUAGAGGUUAAUUAGUCAGUCACAUUCCUUAUGUGUUGCACAGAAACAAAAUAUUUAAUAAAACACAAAACCAUCAAAUUUACCUAGACA